rnacentral:lncRNA from 1 species
AAUGGAGCAGAGACUGGAGCAGAGACAAGUUGUUCCCACUGAGCUCUCCUCAGAUUACAGAUUGGUGAUACAUCACAGGGGCUCAUGAAUGUGUCUUAAGCUGGGUCAUUGAAGUGGAAUGUUUUCACAAGACCUCCUCCACUUGCUACUGUGUCCGGAAUUGGUGGGUUCUUGGUCUCACUGACUUCAAGAAUGAAGCCGCGGACCCUCGCGGGAGUGGCAAAUCAAAGGCAUUGCAGCCUCUUUCAUCACUGCCGAUUGCUGAUGCCAACCAUGUGCCAAGUGCUUAAUACGUCACCUUAAAUCUUCUCAUCCACCCUCAGAGCUGCAGCAUCAACCCAGUGCCCUGACUUUCAAGACGACUAUGAAAACACCCCAACUGCUGCUAAAUUACCAGCAACAAGGAUCUGGAAUUUUCCUGACAAGAGCAGUGCCUAUCCUGAGGCAAUCGUAUUUCUCCUUGACUUCUCUCCAGUAUCAGCUUGUUGCUUGACACCCCUGCACAGCCAACUGUGUAAUGUGGUGCAGCCAUCCAGCCCAGAACACAACAAGAAUAGAGUUGAUGAGCCCUCUUCUCCUCAACAAACACCUGUGAAAAAUGGGCCAAUUCACAGCUGCAAUGGUUGGGAGAAUUUCCUGUCUGGGAGUCUGGAAACUGCCAAGAGUGGAAAGCUGCAGCCAGCCAGCGAGGCCUCUGUUGUCACUGGCCCAAACAACAACAAAAACAACCGCAACAACAACAACAACAACAAAACAUGCCACGUGUGCACUGGCAUAUACAAACACGCCCACAGAACCAAACCAAGCGGACAAGGCUUCAAGGAGAGCUUCUGGGCGGCUCAUUCCCGCGGCGAGGCAUAUCCCUUGGCAUGGUGCCACUGCAGCCCAGCUCCCAGCCCCCCCGCCAUCUGUCAUCAGCGCUCUGCCUACUGUGGCAUUUCCCUCUUUGCUCGGCACCUCUCCCUAUUGCCGCCAUAUGAAAAAGGAGGUGUUUGCUUCCCCUUCCACCAUGAUUGUAAGUUUCCUGAGGCCUCCCGAGCCAUGCUGAACUGUGAGUUAAUAAAACCUCUUUCCUUUAUAAAUUA